AGAGUUAAAACUUGACUGCGUAACCCACGAGGGAGAGAAAAGAACACACAUUCAUUAGUUUUAGGGUUUCGUUUUUGUUGUCUUUGGCGGCAUUGAUUUUGAUUUCUUAACAAUCAUCAUCAAUCACGUUUGAUUUUCCCGCUGUUCAUCCAUUCAUUAAAUUUAACCCCUUUUCCAAAUUGCAACAACCAACAACUACUGAGAAGAUCGAGAAGAAGAAGAUAAACGGGUUUUUCUCAUGUCGUUCUGUAAUUAUUGAGGCAUUGAAGUUGGAACCACGCGAAUUCGUCUUCUAAUUCUCAUCUCCAGUCGGUGGUUUGUACCCAGAGAAAGAAACGAGUGAGGAGGGAAUCAGUGGUUUCGGCUGGAGAUUGGAGAUUGGAACAGUGGGUUGAUUGAUUUCAACUAGGAAAUCUUUCUCCUUUUUAAGGGGUUGAUUGGGUUCUUGGUAUUAGGGUUUUAAAGGUCUGGAAUUGUUGCAGUGGGAUUCUUUCCUUCUUGUUGGAAGCUACUUGAUAGUGGCUUUGAUAGAGCCGCUGGAGUUAGGACUUUCUCUGAUCCUGUGUGUAUUAAACUCUAGUGCUCGAAAUCAGAUAUGGCUGGAUUUGUAACUGGGGAUCCUUCAAAUCAUGCAGUGGCUGAGAAUGCGCCUAGCAACAUUUCUCCAGACAAACAAGAGGAAUCUGACUGUUGGUAUUUCUCAAGAAAGGAAAUAGAAGAAACCUCCCCAUCUAGAAGCGAUGGCAUUGACCUGAAGAAAGAGACAUAUUUACGCAAGUCAUACUGCACAUUUUUACAAGAUUUGGGCAUGCGCCUUAAAGUACCCCAGGUAACUAUAGCUACGGCCAUAAUAUUUUGCCAUCGGUUUUUCCUUCGCCAGUCUCAUGCAAAGAAUGAUAGGCGGACCGUCGCAACGGUUUGUAUGUUCUUGGCGGGAAAGGUUGAAGAAACUCCUAGGCCACUGAAGGAUGUUAUUGUCGUUUCCUACGAAAUUAUUAACAAAAAGGACCCUGCGGCUGCCCAGAAAAUCAAGCAGAAGGAAGUAUAUGAACAGCAAAAAGAGCUGAUUUUGCUUGGAGAGAGGGUUGUACUUGCAACUCUUGAUUUUGACUUCAGUCUCUUCCACCCGUAUAAACCCCUUGUUGAGGCGAUAAAGAAAUUCAAAGUUGCACAGAAUGCCCUUGCCCAGGUUGCAUGGAAUUUUGUCAACGAUGGGUUGCGUACUUCUCUAUUUCUGCAAUUUAAGUGCCACCAUAUUGCUGCUGGUGCUAUCUUCCUUGCCGCAAAGUUUCUCAAAGUCAAGCUCCCAUCGGAUGGAGAGAAACUCUGGUGGCAAGAAUUUGAUGUCACCCCACGCCAAUUGGAAGAGGUGAGCAAUCAAAUGUUGGAACUAUAUGAGCAAAACCGUCUAGCAGCUCAGCCAGGAAGUGAAGUUGAAGGAAGUGCUACAGCUGGGGUUCAGCGGUCCUCAACAAAAGCACCUAAAUCCAGUGAGGAAUCAGUUCCUGUAAACGGUCAUGGAUCUGGUACGGCAUCAUCUGUGAAAGCUGAGGCAGCGGUCCCCCCAUUAACUAGGGCAGUGUCUGAACAUUCAUAUGGUGAUAACCAAAAUGGAUCCCAGAGAAGUACCCAAAAUCGAAAUAAUGACAAUGGGAGAACAGAGAUGACAAGUGUUACCCCAAUACGCAAGAUCGACGGUGAUAGUAAAGGUCGCACACAUGCUGACUGGGAACGCAAGGUGGAUGGUGAAACUAAAGAGUGCCAACAUUCUGAACAGGACCAGGAUAGUGAAACUAAAGAUUACCGUCAUUCUGAACAGGAUCACAAGGGGGAUGCUGAAACUAAAGAUCGCCAACAUUCUGAACAGGAGUCGUUGACCUGCAGGGGGGAGAAUGUUAAAGAAACUUCUAGCAGAGACAGGUCAGUGUCGGACCAUUCUGUUGCUGUGGAUCAAGAGAGGAAUAGCGAGAGAAGGGAAACGGGGGAAGCAGGCGAAGAAAAGACGAAUGUUGAUGUUUUCCAGUCUGGCAGCAGAGGUGGGCGGAAUUUGGAUUACAGGGAAGGCUCUGUGAGUCAGUCACCACUUGAUGCUAUAAAAAAGCUUGACAGAGAUAAGGUCAAGGCAGCUCUAGAACGAAGAAAGUCCCGUGUUGGAGUUGCAAAGAAAAUGGACCUGAUGGAUGACGAUGAUCUAAUUGAAAGGGAGCUGGAAGAUGGCAUUGAGUUGGCUGUUGAGGACGAGAAACUAAAGCAGGAGAGACGGCAGAGCUGGCCUAACUCCUCAAACAGUCAAGAACAUGAAAACCAGAAAUCUGGCAGAGAUCGAGAUGAGGAUAUUAGACAUGUAAAUCACUCUGGAGGACUCAAGGGGAGGUCAUCUUCUGGAACCAAAGGGAAAAACCUUGAAGACAGAGAAGUUCAUUCAUUUGAUGAUGGAAAUAAGAGAGAAUUCCAGUCUCCUGAGUCGAGUAAUCGGAAAAGAAAGGCAGUUAGCCCAGAUGUCGAUCACGUGUAAGGAAACCAGUUUGGCAAUUCUGUGUCAGACUACCACAAUGAUCACAGUCAUCAAGACAGGGUUGACAUGUAGCUACGGACCACAAACGCCACAUACAUGGAAAUGAAGUUAAAACGGUGGUUCGUGUUUUGAGAAGAACCUUGAUUGCUAACUACAGACCGUGGGCCUAAAACUGUUGUUGCAAGCUUGUACUGUUCUCCAAAUAUUCCUGGUGGCCCUCCUCAACAACAUGGUCCCUUCAAAAGUCCCUUCAAAUGACUUGUUUGUAACAGCAUCCCAUUAGCAAAAGUCCCAGGUUUGCUUUAUUUCCUAGAUAAGCAGUCCCAUGCCUGUCGAGAACAACAUAGUACAGUAAGGUUCUCUUUCAGUAGUGUGUGCACUCUAUGGAAAACUCUUAAUCUGCCUGCUACGUCAGUUCAUUUUCACAGAAAAUCAACUCACUACCUAUGUCUGAAUCAGAUCAAGGAAAAUCUGAAAUUAAAAUAAAAAUGUUACAAUUCUUGAGCCUCGGCGGAGUUUCCAUCA